rnacentral:rRNA from 1 species
CCAAUAGCGUAUAUUAAAGUUGUUGCAGUUAAAAAGCUCGUAGUUGAAUUUCGGGAUUGGCGCAUCGGUCGUGCCUCACGGGGUAUGAACUGGUGCAGUCAAUUUCCCACCUUCUGGAGAACCGCGAUGUCCUUAAUUGGAUGCCGCGGGGAACCAGGACCUUUACUUUGAAAAAAUUAGAGUGUUUAAAGCAGGCAUUUUUGCUUGAAUACAUUAGCAUGGAAUAAUAAAAUAGGACGGCAUGGUUCUAUUUUGUUGGUUUCUAGGACCACCGUAAUGAUUAAUAGGGAUAGUUGGGGGCAUUAGUAUUCAAUUGUCAGAGGUGAAAUUCUUGGAUUUAUUGAAGACUAACUACUGCGAAAGCAUUUGCCAAGGAUGUUUUCAUUAAUCAAGAACGAAAGUUAGGGGAUCGAAGACGAUCAGAUACCGUCGUAGUCUUAACCAUAAACUAUGCCGACUAGGAAUCAGACGAUGUUAAUUUUUUAAUGACUCGUUUGGCACCUUACG